rnacentral:rRNA from 1 species
CGCACGAGCGCACCCUUGCCCUAUGUUGCCAGCGGGUUAUGCCGGGGACUCAUGGGGAACUGCCGGUGAUAAACCGGAGGAAGGUGGGGACGACGUCAAGUCAUCAUGGCCCUUACGCCCAGGGCUACACACGUGCUACAAUGGCCGGUACAAAGGGCUGCAAUCCCGCGAGGGGGAGCGAAUCCCAAAAAGCCGGUCUAAGUUCGGAUUGUAGUCUGCAACUCGACUGCAUGAAGUCGGAAUCGCUAGUAAUCGUGUAUCAGCAACGACACGGUGAAUACGUUCCCGGGCCUUGUACACACCGCCCGUCAAGCCAUGGAAGCCGGGAGUGCCCGAAGUCCGUGAUCCAACUCCGUGAGGAAGCGGCCGAAGGUAAGUUCGGUGACUGGGGCUAAGUCGUAACAAGGUAGCCGUAGGGGAACCUGCGGCUGGAUCACCUCCUUU